GAUGAACGCUGGCGGCGUGCCUAAUACAUGCCAGUCGAGCGAACAGACGAGGAGCUUGCUCCUCUGACGUUAGCGGCGGACGGGUGAGUAACACGUGGAUAACCUACCUAUAAGACUGGGAUAACUUCGGGAAGCCGGAGCUAAUACCGGAUAAUAUAUUGAGCCGCAUGGUUCAAUAGUGAAAGACGGUUUUGCUGUCACUUAUAGAUGGAUCCGCGCCGCAUUAGCUAGUUGGUAAGGUAACGGCUUACCAAGGCAACGAUGCGUAGCCGACCUGAGAGGGAGAUUGGCCACACUGGAACUGAGACACGGUCCAGACUCCUACGGGAGGCAGCAGUAGGGAAUCUUCCGCAAUGGGCGAAAGCCUGACGGAGCAACGCCGCGUGAGUGAUGAAGGUCUUCGGAUCGUAAAACUCUGUUAUUAGGGAAGAACAAAUGUGUAAGUAACUAUGCACGUCUUGACGGUACCUAAUCAGAAAGCCACGGCUAACUACGUG
rnacentral:rRNA from 1 species